UGUGCAUUGCAGACUUUUUGUUGUUGCCUUUUCGGAUGUGCAUGCACGAGGAACUUCCUUCUUUGGAACUGCUUCUUGACCUGUUUCGGAUAUUUCGUCUCCUGGCCUGGCUUAUUUCGUUUCGGCGCUGCUGAGACCUCCUUUCGCGGAAUAUUACUCAAUGACAGUGUGCGAAGAACGCGAGUUCACCUUCUUGACGAAAAUCGUGGACUAACAGUUUGAAGUAAUUGAACUACUUCCAAAAGUUGUAUCGACAUCAACAGGAUUACGAUUUCAGU